rnacentral:piRNA from 1 species
UUUUUCAACGAAGAGUUCAGG